GUGUUCAAGACAACCCAAUGACAAUGAUUGUGGAUAUUAUAUGUGUCGAUAUAUGAAAGAAAUUAUCACAUGUGAAGGAGGAACAAUUUCAACUAAGUAUUUUUCUAAUUGCAGAUAUCAACAAUAUUGUGACAAUCAAAUUAUUGAAGUUAGGAAAGAUUGACGUUUACAUAUAAUUAGUACAUAUUUAUAGGUUGUUAGGGUGAUGUACAUAUGUAUUAAUAGGAUAUGUGUUAUGGUUGUAUAUACGUUUUAUAAAACAAUGUCAUGUCAUAACAUGUACUUGACGAAUUAAUGAUUACAUUUUGAAAUA